rnacentral:rRNA from 1 species
AGAAUCAACGCUGGCGGCGUGCCUAACACAUGCAAGUCGCACGAGAAAGGGGAGCAAUCCCUGAGUAAAGUGGCGCACGGGUGAGUAACACGUGAAUCAUCUACCUUCGAGUGGGGAAUAAACUGGAAGAAAUUUCAGCUAAUACCGCAUAAUACCUACGGGUCAAAGCAGUAAUGCGCUUGAAGAGGAGUUCGCGGCAGAUUAGUUAGUUGGCGGGUAAUGGCCCACCAAGACGAUGAUCUGUA